rnacentral:rRNA from 1 species
UACGUAGGGUGCAAGCGUUGUUCGGAAUUACUGGGCGUAAAGGGCUCGUAGGCGGCCAACUAAGUCAGACGUGAAAUCCCUCGGCUUAACCGGGGAACUGCGUCUGAUACUGGAUGGCUUGAGGUUGGGAGAGGGAUGCGGAAUUCCAGGUGUAGCGGUGAAAUGCGUAGAUAUCUGGAGGAACACCGGUGGCGAAGGCGGCAUCCUGGACCAAUUCUGACGCUGAGGAGCGAAAGCCAGGGGAGCAAACGGG